AGAGAUUCUGAAAUCUCGAGUUAUUAGUGAGUUUGCUUUUGCUACGAACGCAUCGUUUCCCAUCCAAAUGGAGAGAAACAUGCAUUUGUGCACACAGAAACAGAAUAGCGGUUGCCAAGCAAUUGGUUUUGGACGCAAACAUAACUGUUCUUUACCAUCGUCAUCAGUUUGAUGCGCACAUAAGAGACAAUUCAAGCAGAUGCACGCUUGCACAUCGUCGAGAAACGUGGUCGCCGACCACUGUUAACGGUUUGGAUCCAAUAUGGAAGCCAGCCGCGUGCAAUCAUAACGUCGAAUAAACGAUGGCGGCAUCAUCUGCGAAGAAUAAAUGUGAUAUGGCUUAAAGCAAACAAAUGUUAAAGUAGAUAAGAAAAAAAACAUUGUUGUGGAAACAUAUGGAAACCAGCACACAUGCAACUCACUAAUCAGCAUUGAAACAAAAAAAAGCACGCAAUUGAUGCAACUGUAUGCACAAUGUUCACAUCCGUUUAUCGACCAAAAGAAUAAUGACGCAACUCUUUUUGAGUUCAAUAAACCGUACAAAACGACGUCGAUGUGCAGAUAGACGGCGUGCAACAAAACCAAGAUAAUUUUUGAGUUUAAAUACACAUUUCUUACAUCUCUUUUUUCAUGACGUUUUUCAAGAUCUUUGGAGAGAAAGUGUGUCUGAAGUGUAUCAUCAAGAGUUUCAACCACGACCCAAUCCAUUCAUAUAUUUUCGGCACGGAAUUGCCCAAACUAAUUGAUGCAUCUGAGUCAUUUCCGCACAAUAACAUUUCUUGUAUUCAAAUGUCGGUCUUUUUGGCUUAAUCAAUCAUGUGAUGAAAUCAAAGCAAGCAAUUGUCGAUUAAUUCCUGUUCAACUGAAUUUGUUUGUUGUACCAUACAAUAACAACUCUCACAAUAAGUGGGAUGAUAAGUUAUAUCUAAUUGUAUCUAAUCAAGGCUUUUCCGAAGGAAUUCAGCUUUUUCAGCGAUUAGGAAGUUGAACUUUUCAAUAAUCAAGGCAAUCGAUAUUCAAAUGGAUUCGAUUAUUAUACCAUACCACUAUAACUCUUACGGCAAUUCGGUAUCAUCCAAGUAUCUAAUCAAGGCUUUUCCGAAGGAAUUCAGCUUUUUCAGCGAUUAGGAAGUUGAACUUUUCAAUAAUCAAGAGAAUCCAUAUUCAAAUGGAUUCGAUGGUUAUGCAACACCACUACUACUCUUACGGCAAUUCGGUAUCAUCCAAUUGGUAUAAAUCAACAAAACAAAGCAAGCAAUUAGAGGGUAUACUGAAACCGAAUUUUGCAGGCAAUGAAUUUCAUACAUUAAUUUUGGAUUGUGAAUACUCUGUGAAUGUUUAGUAAUUGACAUUAACACGAGUGUACUUUCAACAAAUUGUUGAAUGGUAAUCGCUACAAAUUUAUCGUCCAUCUUCAAUAAUUUUGUCCAUAUUGUUGUGCACACCCAAUAAAUGAACGAAUCAAUAUUAAAUUGAGCUCUUCUGUAUAUAUUUGAAAACAUCCAUUACAUAAAUAUAUCCGCAUGGUCUAAAUUCUCCGAGUCUUUAAAAUAAGUAAAAAAAAAACUAGCCAAUAGUUUAAAUUUAAAAAAAAUACACAAGCUUUGCGUGAUACUCGCUGGCUGUUACAUAACGUUAUGUUCAAAUUCUAUAAACGAAUACUAAUCGGGAGCAAAUUUUUCCCGCAUAAAAAGCUUCUUGAAAUUUUAAAUGUACGAAUAAGACAAAUUCUUGAUUCAAGUGGGUUUUCAUUUGUCGCUUGAGAUAUUAAUUUUAAAUAUUCCUUAAAUUGUUUCUGGCAUUUAUUUUGUUCUAAGCAACGAUUAAGCCCUUAUCGUUGUCUUUGCUUUAGAGUCUACUUUUUGUUUUAUCAUAUCGAGUUUUGUGAAGCGCUGAACAACUCAUAUUCGUGCAAUACUUGAGAAAGCGUUCAUUUAAUUUCAGUGAGCAUGUCAUUGAGACGUUUCAUUUUCACUCAUUUGUUACGAUCCACUAAACCAAUAUAAUUUCAGCAAUCGCAUUCGCUGGACUUAUUCAUCUGUACAUAUGUUACUGGAGACUACCGAAAACACGAUUUCAUUGUGCCUGAUAAUUUUGCUGCAAAAUAUGAAGCGGUGGUUUCAAUCGACUAAGGAACUCGAUUUUAAUUCUCAAUUAAUGGACUUAAGUUAUAGUCGUUUCCAACAUUGAUUCCAAAUGGAUCCAGUCUAAUUCUUUGAGCUAAUUUAUAUUAAAAAUGAUACAACUUAAGUCCCAUUUUAUUGAUAAAUAUGCCAAAUUUGGGUUUAAAUGGCUUAAAAUCCGGUAUUCAGUCCCAAAUCCAAUAGUCAAUCUGUCAGUUCCUUUAAGUCCCAGCCUGGAAAAUAUUCAAGUGGGUUUCUAUUAUUUUCAGAUAUCCGAACACGCCAUUUAGUCAAUUUAAAAUGACGCAAGUUAAGUCCCAGUUAUCGGACAAAAUAUGCAAUCAAUAUUCAUUUCGGUAUCUCUUUUUUUUAAUGCUCACUUGAUAUUUGAUGAAUUUUUUAAUCUAAAUAAUUCAUAUUCGUGCAAUACUUGAGAAAGCGUUCUUAGUUGGAUAGUUGUUCAAUACGAAAUUCGUUGUUAAUAUUCAAACCUUAUUCGAAAAUUCUUUAUUUAAAUAAUACUUGAAAAAGCGUUCUUGCCUUCUUCAUUUAUUUUGGUCACUUGUGGCCAUUUGGUCAAUUUAGACUUCAUCUAAAUAAUUCAUAUUCGUGCAAUACUUGAGAAAGCGUUCUUUGCGAUCAUAUUUAAAGUUGUUAAAUCGGAGAUCAUAUUCGAACCGUACUUUAGGUAUUGAGUACUGCGUAGCUUCUUUUUCCAUUUCCAAUUGAUUCAUAAUAUAUUUAAUAAACAAAACAUGGAAACAAGGUUUUCUUGGUUUCUGAGUUAAGUUUCAUGCUUCGGAUACGGUAUAUCCGUAUAACUAUAGCAAUAUAAAGAAAAAGAACCAAGAUAACUAGCAAUUCCAGAGAAUUAAUUCUGGAAAAUGCAUAGAAGUCUUGACUGUUCUUUGCGGACACCGUUUUGUGUAAAUUGUUUUGAACAAUGUUUAUUGUUCUCUCACGUGCUGUACGCUAUUUUAAACACAUUCUUUUUAAAGAAUAAACCGUUCGCGGUAUCUUGGAAAUUGGCGUAAGUUACAGUCGUGGAUCGUAUUAUUACUGUCAAUUUUUUUUGCAAACGCUAGAAUGAGACUGAAGCAAUUUUCAAACAAACCGUAAUUGAAGCCCAUUCUCAAAUCGAACAAUAUCUUUUAUUCAAAUCGGAAAAACCCGCACAUAUCAACCGAAUUUUAAAUUUAAUUGACGUACCGAUAAAUGCUGGAAUGGAAUAUCGAUGGUUUGAGUACAUAAGCGAGUACGUCUUACUAUUGUUGGUUUGAAGUUUUUUCUCUUGGAACAUUUCUCUAGCGUUUCGUCUCAUCACCGUCUCCAAGAAUACCUUUGACUCGUUGGUAUUUGUCAAAAUAGGUCUCUUCAAUAAAUGUAUAUAUGCUAGUGGACGAGGCUAUUCAGCGUCACAAUUUUCUUCUUACUUUUCUGCUUCGUGUUUACCCAAAUCUGAUGGUGAGUUCCGGAGCUGUUCAUUGCCUGCCAAUUCAAAUGAUUUUCUACAUUAAAUCAUGAUUCUCCAUGUCGGUUGUGUCAUUAAUCAGACUCUACAUAUUGCCUGCCGAUUUACUUCUCUGUUCUGAUACCAUGCAGUUGUGUCAUAAGAUCCGACUCUGCAUAUUUCCAGCCGAACGUGCUACGGUUAUUUAACCACACAAAAGUUAUUUUAUUACAUCGAACUAAAUUGCUUUUUUUUUAAUUUACUGAAACAAUCGUUUCAUUGAUUUUCCCGUAAUCGACGAUUGAAUUGCAUAUGUUUGAGUUGAGUUUUAAAUAGUUGCAUCAUAACAAAGCAUGCAUCGUUGCAUUAAAGCCUCUUUAUAUGGUAUAUUUAUUGAACCUUGAUAUGAGAAUUCCUUAUGCUGUAUUGGCUGUAUAUGAUAGAAAAUCUACCCGUGUGUCAUGAAUAAUUGUCAUUGUUGGUAACAAUAACAGACACACUUUUGAAAUGUCAACAUUGACUCAUAUAUAAUAAUAAUAAUAAUAAUAAUAUUGUUUAUUCACCGCCAAAACGGACUGAAUCAUAGUUUGUGUUUGUACAUAAUUUAUACAUGUAUUGGUGGGAAAAAGGUAUAAUCAUGAUGGAUGCCAUCUGAUCUCCGUUAAAAACCACAUCUUUUAAAUAAUAGAGUAUAAAAAUUUUCAGUUUUCAUCCAUGCCGAAUUCAACAUAGAGUCAUUGAAUUUGUUUUUUUCUGUUUUUUCCAUUUUUUUAAAUUUUAACGAUUCAGUCUCUACGCUAAACACUUUUCUGAAAUUUUUCUAUUUUUUUUAUAUUUUUUUUCUAAGUCACAUCAUUUUAAUUUGUUUUUUUUUUCAUCUACUCUGAUGAAAACUACUGACAUUUCAAUUGUUGGUUUUUUUUGUUGAUUUCCUGAAGACAUCUGUUACAUGACUUAAAUCUUAUUUUAUUUUCUAUUUAUUACUAAUUCCAUAAUUUCAAAGAAAAUAGUUACAUCACAUUAAUUGAAAUGCCAAAUAAAGCAAGCAAUCCCAGUUGUUUUAAACGUCGAAUUUACACUUUGCUAGAAGAGCAUUUGAUAUAUAUGAAAGUAUGUUUGAUAAAUAAAAGAAAUGGUGUAAUUUAAACUCAAA